rnacentral:tRNA from 3 species
GGCGGCAUACCCAAGUGGCAAGGGAGCGGUCUGCAAAACCGUUAUACAGCGGUUCAAAUCCGCUUGCCGCCUCCA